rnacentral:rRNA from 1 species
AAAGCGUGCGCAGGCGGUUGUGCAAGACAGAUGUGAAAUCCCCGGGCUCAACCUGGGAAUUGCAUUUGUGACUGCACGGCUAGAGUGUGUCAGAGGGGGGUAGAAUUCCACGUGUAGCAGUGAAAUGCGUAGAUAUGUGGAGGAAUACCGAUGGCGAAGGCAGCCCCCUGGGAUAACACUGACGCUCAUGCACGAAAGCGUGGGGAGCAAACAGGAUUAGAUACCCCGGU